rnacentral:rRNA from 1 species
CCUACGGGGGGGAGCAGUGAGGAAUAUUGGUCAAUGGGCGCGAGCCUGAACCAGCCAAGUAGCGUGAAGGAUGACUGCCCUACGGGUUGUAAACUUCUUUUAUAAAGGAAUAAAGUGAGGCACGUGUGCCUUUUUGUAUGUACGUUAUGAAUAAGGAUCGGCUAACUCCGUGCCAGCAGCCGCGGUAAUACGGAGGAUCCGAGCGUUAGCCGGAGUGAUUGGGUUGAAAGGGAGCGUAGAUGGGUUGUUAAGUCAGUUGUGAAAGUUUGCGGCUCAACCGUAAAAUUGCAAUUGAUACUGGCAGUCUUGCUUACAUUUGCGUUAGUCUGCCUUCGUGUUGUCGCGGU